UACAGAGGUCCCGAGCGUUGUUCGGAUUCACUGGGCGUAAAGGGUGCGUAGGUGGCGAGGUAAGUUUGAUGUGAAAUCUCCGGGCUUAACCCGGAAACUGCAUUGAAUACUAUCUUGCUAGAGGGUUGGAGGGGGGACUGGAAUUCUCGGUGUAGCAGUGAAAUGCGUAGAUAUCGAGAGGAACACCAGUGGCGAAGGCGAGUCCCUGGACAACUCCUGACACUGAGGCACGAAAGCUAGGGGAGCAAACAGG
rnacentral:rRNA from 1 species